AAGCAGCAGCAGCAGCAGCAGCAGCAGCAGAAGCAGCAAGUCUCUGCCUCCUACUUCCUCAAACUCCAGCCACAGGGACACAGUCACUGGACUGCUGCUCACAGGACUUCCCUUGCUGCUCAGCCCAGGGAGGGCACUGAUGUUCAAAGUUCGCUCUCUUGGAAGAGGCUCGGUGUUUUGGAGCAUUUGUUGCUCUUGCGAAGGUCCCAUGUUUGAUUCCCAGCAUCCACGGGGUGGCUCUCAACCAUCAGUAACUCCAGUUCCAGAAGAUUUGACACUUUCUCCUGAACCGACAGGAGUUCAUGUGGUGUGGCAUAGAGGCAAAACAUUCAUACACAUAAAACCAAAUAAAUUUAUUCUAAGAAUUAAA